rnacentral:rRNA from 1 species
UAGGGAAUCUUCGGCAAUGGGGGCAACCCUGACCGAGCAACGCCGCGUGAGUGAAGAAGGUUUUCGGAUCGUAAAGCUCUGUUGUAAGUCAAGAACGAGUGUGAGAGUGGAAAGCUCACACUGUGACGGUAGCUUAUCAGAAAGGGACGGCUAACUACGUGCCAGCAGCCGCGGUAAUACGUAGGUCCCGAGCGUUGUCCGGAUUUAUUGGGCGUAAAGCGAGCGCAGGCGGUUUGAUAAGUCUGAAGUUAAAGGCUGUGGCUCAACCAUAGUUCGCUUUGGAAACUGUCAAACUUGAGUGCAGAAGGGGAGAGUGGAAUUCCAUGUGUAGCGGUGAAAUGCGUAGAUAUAUGGAGGAACACCGGUGGCGAAAGCGGCUCUCUGGUCUGUAGCUGACGCUGAGGCUCGAAAGCGUGGGGAGCGAACAGGAUUAGAUACCCUGGUAGUCCACGCCGUAAACGAUGAGUGCUAGGUGUUGGAUCCUUUCCGGGAUUCAGUGCCGCAGCUAACGCAUUAAGCACUCCGCCUGGGGAGUACGACCGCAAGGUU